AAUGAACGUUGGCGACGUGGAUUAGGCAUGCAAGUCGUUCGCCCCGCGAGGGGCGAGGCGCAAGGGUGAGUAAGGCGACGACAACCAACCCCGGGGGUGGGCAUAGCCGCGGGAAACUGCGGGUAAUUCCCAGCGAAGUCGGAGGGUGGCAUCAUCCACCGACCAAAGGUGCGAUAUCCGCCUCGGGACGGGUCGUCGUGGUAUCAGCUUGUUGGCGGGGUAACGGCCCCCCAAGGCUAAGACGCCUACCGGGCGUGCGAGCGUGGCCCGGCACACUGGGACUGAAACACUGCCCAGACACCUACGGGUGGCUGCAGUCGAGAAUCUUCGGCAAUGGGCGCAAGCCCGACCGAGCGACGUCGCGUGGGGGAUGAAGGCCUUCGGGUUGUAAACUCCUGUCGAGGGGGAACAAGGGCCGGUGGAGAGCCGGACUUGAGUGAUCCCUGGAGGAAGCACGGGCUAAGUUCGUGCCAGCCGCCGCCGUAACAC
rnacentral:rRNA from 1 species